GAUGAGCGCUAGCGGCAGGCUUAAUACAUGCAAGUCGAGGGGCAGCAGUCCCGCAGCAAUGCGGGAGCUGGCGACCGGCAAACGGGUGCGGAACACGUACAGAACCUUCCUUCGAGCGGGGAAUAGCCCAGAGAAAUUUGGAUUAAUACCCAUAGCAUUACGAAGUGGCAUCACUUUGUAAUUAAAGAUUUAUCACUCGAAGAUGGCUGUGCGGCUGAUUAGGUAGUUGGCGGAGUAACGGCCCACCAAGCCUUCGAUCAGUAACUGGUGUGAGAGCACGAUCAGUCACACGGGCACUGAGACACGGGCCCGACUCCUACGGGAGGCAGCAGUAAGGAAUAUUGGUCAAUGGACGAAAGUCUGAACCAGCCAUGCCGCGUGGAGGAUGAAGGUCCUCUGGA
rnacentral:rRNA from 1 species